AAAAGAAUAAUGGAAACAAAGUAUUCUAUUGAUGUUUGAUAUUAAUAUAGCAGAUAAAGUAAUUAUUAAAUUAUAUUUGCUGUGUUGCUGUUAAAACUGGAGAAUCUGCCAUUUAAAAAUUUACUGGAACUUCAUUUCUGCUUUCCAGGGUGGAAUUUUCUCUUCUUCUCUUUGUGGUGAUCCCCCACUAUACUCUGGGAAUGUCUGCAUUUGUGGGCUUUUAUUCAUACUUAUAGAAAAGCACCUACAUUUUCUUCUUGAGAAAGUGUUAAUCUCCAGAAAGCAGUCCACGUGCGGACACUUGAGAUGGAGAUAAUAAAUGUUGUCCUCGGUCAUUUUGUUUUGAUCAAGAUUGCCUUUCUUAGCAUUAUUGUUUCUUCAUUUGUUCUUAGGGAAUGUCUGUUUGUGAGUUUUUCUAUGCAAGCAUGUACUCAUAAAAUUCUGAAAACAGAAAUGAAGCUUUGUUGCCUGUCUUGGUUCCUUGACAACAUUGAAGCUUUCCAAUGCUUAACAUGCUACACUAGGAAAAAAACACAGGGAGUUGGUGUCUAGACUGCAGAAGAAGAUGUAUACUGUACUUAGGAAGCUCUCCUUGCCUCUUUGCCAGAAGGUAAGCUGGACUUUAUAAAAUAGAGGAGACAAGGAAUGGCAGGAAGGUUGAUUUUCACCACAGUGAGGCAGGUCAAGAUCUAAACAGGAAAAGGUGUCAGGAGAUGACUGACAUGUGGCUUGGGACUGUGUAUUCUAAACGCAGCCACAACCAAUUUCAAGUUUUCUGUGUGAUAUAGUUCCCGUCCCUGGUUUCUUUUAGUGACGUCUUAUUAAGCAUUACAUAGCGCAGUUGUGCUUUAGAGAAUUGAGGGAUGAGCUUACCAUUACACUUGCAGUAAAGCUUCUAUAGGGGAGAAGCACCGCCACCCUGAGAUGUACAUGAAAUGAAACUCAACUCAGAACUGGGGGGCAUGGUCCAGCAUUAGAUUGGGGUAUUCCAAGUGACCAGUGAGUUCCAAAAUAU
rnacentral:lncRNA from 1 species